CCUACGGGGGGCAGCAGUGGGGAAUAUUGCACAAUGGGCGCAAGCCCGAUGCAGCCAUGCCGCGUGUGUGAAGAAGGCCUUCGGGUUGUAAAGCACUUUCAGCGGGGAGGAAGGCGGUGAGGUUAAUAACCUCAUCGAUUGACGUUACCCGCAGAAGAAGCACCGGCUAACUCCGUGCCAGCAGCCGCGGUAAUACGGAGGGUGCAAGCGUUAAUCGGAAUUACUGGGCGUAAAGCGCACGCAGGCGGUCUGUCAAGUCGGAUGUGAAAUCCCCGGGCUCAACCUGGGAACUGCAUUCGAAACUGGCAGGCUAGAGUCUUGUAGAGGGGGGUAGAAUUCCAGGUGUAGCGGUGAAAUGCGUAGAGAUCUGGAGGAAUACCGGUGGCGAAGGCGGCCCCCUGGACAAAGACUGACGCUCAGGUGCGAAAGCGUGGGGAGCAAACAGGAUUAGAUACCCGGGUAGUC
rnacentral:rRNA from 1 species